AUUGAACGCUGGCGGCAGGCCUAACACAUGCAAGUCGAACGAGUGGCGGACGGGUGAGUAAUGUCUGGGAAACUGCCUGAUGGAGGGGGAUAACUACUGGAAACGGUAGCUAAUACCGCAUACCAUCAGAUGUGCCCAUAUGGGAUUAGCUUGUUGGUGGGGUAACGGCUCACCAAGGCGACGAUCCCUAGCUGGUCUGAGAGGAUGACCAGCCACACUGGAAUUGAGACACGGUCCAGACUCCUACGGGAGGCAGCAGUGGGGAAUAUUGCACAAUGGGCGCAAGCCUGAUGCAGCCAUGCCGCGUGUAUGAAGAAGGCCUUCGGGUUGUAAAGUUCUUUCAGCGGGGAAGCGUUACCCGCAGAAGAAGCACCGGCUAACUCCGUGCCAGCCGCCGCGGUAAUUC
rnacentral:rRNA from 1 species